rnacentral:rRNA from 2 species
GAAACCAACAGGGAUUGCCUUAGUAACGGCGAGUGAAGCGGCAACAGCUCAAAUUUGAAAUCUGGCCCUUGGGUCCGAAUUGUAAUUUGUAGAGGAUGAUUUUGGUGCGGUAUCUUCCGAGUUCCUUGGAACAGGACGCCUUAGAGGGUGAGAGCCCCGUACGGUUGAAUGCCUAGCCUCUGUAAAUCUCCUUCGACGAGUCGAGUAGUUUGGGAAUGCUGCUCUAAAUGGGAGGUAAAUUUCUUCUAAAGCUAAAUAUUGGCCAGAGACCGAUAGCGCACAAGUAGAGUGAUCGAAAGAUGAAAAGCACUUUGAAAAGAGGGUUAAAUAGCACGUGAAAUUGUUGAAAGGGAAGGAUUUGUGACCAGACUUUUUCUGGGCGGAUCAUCCGGGGUUCUCUCCGGUGCACUUCGCCCAGUAAAGGCCAGCAUCGGUUUUCGGCGUGGGAUAAAAGCAGUAGGAAUGUGGCUCUCUACGGGGAGUGUUAUAGCCCAUUGUAUAAUACCGCGCUGGGGACCGAGGUUCGCGCUUCUGCAAGGAUGCUGGCGUAAUGGUUAUCAAUCACCCGUCUUGAAACACGGACCAAGGAGUCGAACAUUUGUGCGAGUGUUUGGGUGUUAAACCCUCACGCGUAAUGAAAGUGAACGGAGGUGAGAGCCCUUACGGGUGCAUCAUCGACCGAUCCUGAAGUUUUCGGAUGGAUUUGAGUAAGAGCAUAACUGUUCGGACCCGAAAGAUGGUGAACUAUGCGUGGAUAGGGUGAAGCCAGAGGAAACUCUGGUGGAGGCUCGCAGCGGUUCUGACGUGCAAAUCGAUCGUCAAAUCUGCGCAUGGGGGCGAAAGACUAAUCGAACCAUCUAGUAGCUGGUUACCG